GAUGAUGUUUUAAUAUUGUGUAAAUAUGUAAUUUGUUAUUUUAAUAUUUCGCAGGUAUUUGUCAGAUAUUGUUGUCUGCCAAAUAGUAUUUAUUCUAUUAGUUUUCUCAGUCAGGUACCCUUUAUCUGAUUGGCUAAUAGCACUGCAUGCUUUUCACGUGCACACACUACAUGAACAGCAGACAUGUUUGACGGGUUUUGACAGGCGACAGAUCAGAAUACAUUAUAGGGCGUUGUUUGCAAUGACAUAAUGAACUUUAUGAAGUAAAUCAUUUCCAAACGU